rnacentral:lncRNA from 1 species
AUGAAAUCUUCCAUUUCAUAAAGAGUUACUAUAACGAUACCUAGCAUGUGUAAAGGUUCUAUUACAGGCAUUUUUACAUGGGAUCAUGCAAUUCCCCCCAACCACCUUACAAGGUAGAUGUCAUCAUCAUUCUCAUUUUACACAUGAGGAAACAGAGGCCAGAGAGGUUAGGAAAUUUGCCAAAGGUCAUACAGCCAGCAUGUGGCUGAGCGAAGUGUCGUCACCCGCAUUUGUCACCGGCAGGCCAGCCUGCCCUUUUGUUGGGCGCAGCCAGAUCUACUUGCUGUGUGACAUUCCAGGAUGGGAGGCAGAUCAUGAAAGAAUAAACAGAGAGAGAUCCACACCUGCCAACUGUGACCGUGCUGCAAAGUGUGUGAAGUGGACACGACCUAGAGAAGAUGCCCACAGCCAGCGGGGUCUGGACCCUGCUUGGAGGGAAAGCUUUGAAAUGGAGCACUGACAUGCCCAAUCUCGGGAGUGACAAGCACUCAGCCUGGGAGGGGUACAGGCCUGGUGUGCCAGCCAGUCCUGAGGGCAGCACUGGACUCCUGCAUGGGGACCAUUCACCCAGCGCUUUCUUCAGCUGACUCUGAUACCUGACCAAAGACAAAAUGAUCUGCUUAUCGACUUUUAAAUUAAUUAUAAUGAAGCUAAUGCAUGACAGUGGGAUUUCACACGUAUUAUCUGUUUGGGCCUCCCCCAGGAGAUGCACAGAGUUAGUGUGAGUGGCCUCAUUUUGUAAUGAGGAGAGGAGUGGAUAGUGGCAGACAGAGAGGAGGGUGCCCUGCUGGGGUGCUCAGGUUGGCAAGAGGGAGAGGUGGCAGCUCACAGCCUCUGUGGGAAGCCCCUUCUUUGCCCAGUUACCUGGCCGUAGAUUCAGCAUAAUGGAAUGAAGGCCACUGCCGGGCUCGGUGCAUGACUCGGUGCAGAUCCCACUGCAGAGAGUGAACAGAGGGCCUAGAAGGAACCCCAGUCAGAGAGUCAGGAGUUGCGGGUCCAGACCUGGCUGUACCACGACCCGGCUGUAUACACUGAACAACCCCAACUGAAUGGCUCCCUUCACCCUGGUGAGCAGGGAGGUGUGUCCGGCAGGGGACCCAGCAGGGGCUGCACUGCCUGCCCCCUAGGCAUGUCUGUCCACUGCUCCACGGGGACAAACAGAGCCUAUCAGUAGGCAGCAUGAGGCCAGAGGCUGCUGUGUCCUGUCAGGGCCAGAGCCCCACAGCAUUUCCAGUUGUACUGGCCCUCUGCUCACUGGGGUGCCCAUGGGCAGCUUCAAGCAUUUUUAAACUUAAUCCUCAGCCUUUCCCAGCACAGCUUACCAAUACCAACCACUACAUCUAGAUGCUAAAAAGUCCCUGAUGGCUUGGAUGGGAUGAAAAUACAGCAGAUGCAUGGAGCUCAUGGCAAACUGGAGGUUAUUUUAUCCACCUGUGGUGGUCUAUGAGCAAACACUUUUAUUGCCAAGUCAAAGAUUUUGAUUCUCUAGGCUUAAGAGGGGCCUGGAGAUGUGUAGGUGCAAAGCCCCACAGGUGACUCUGAUGGAUGGGAGGGUUGAAAGCCAUUGCUGUGAGCCAGAUGCAUCCUUCCACAGAUGUGUUAAAUGAGUCCCUAAGUCGUGCUGCUAAGCCAAGGCAGAAGGAGGCACGAGCCUGUUUCUCUGGACACCCUCUAAAACUCUCCUUCCCAGUGGGAGCUGCACUCAAUCACGUGGUGGCCUGGUACAAAGGCACUUUUCUGUCCCCAACUAACCUACUGAGUCAGAAUCUCUGGGGGUAGGUCCAGGAUAUACCCGGACUGCAUCAUCGUAAAUGUACCCAUUCUAGAGAGGAAGUGUCAGAAAGCAGGCUUGGGAUAGCCCUUGGAGUCUCCCCUUCCAGCAGCACCCAGCUGUAAGCUCAGCACUGAGGUAGAAAGUCAUCCACAUGCAGAAUGACCCUGGAAAACACCUCAGUCCUCUCAGAAGGCACAGAGCAGGGCAGGCAGAUUUUACGGAAAAUUGAAAUAGUGCAAUAACAAAAUAGUAAUACCAUUUCACAUUUUGUAAAAAACAAAAAAAUAAUGCACAUCCCCUCCCUCCAAUUAAAAAAUAUGCCGAGAAUUUUUCAUACUCUUGGAAGGUGUUGGUUGAGUGAAGCCUAAACUGUGCUCUCAUCGCAGUGGCCCACCUUAUUCGUAAACAGAAACACUGGCACUCUUUGUCAGGGUAGGUUGUGAAUUAUGUAAAGGUGUCAAGAAUGAUCCCAG